CGUCCACUCCUACGGGAGGCAGCAGUGAGGAAUAUUGGACAAUGGGUGGAAGCCUGAUCCAGCCAUCCCGCGUGCAGGAAGACGGCCCUAUGGGUUGUAAACUGCUUUUAUCUGGGGAUAAACCUACUUACGUGUAAGUAGCUGAAGGUACCAGAAGAAUAAGCACCGGCUAACUCCGUGCCAGCAGCCGCGGUAAUACGGAGGGUGCAAGCGUUAUCCGGAUUUAUUGGGUUUAAAGGGUCCGUAGGCGGACUGAUAAGUCAGUGGUGAAAUCCGACAGCUUAACUGUCGAACUGCCAUUGAUACUGUUAGUCUUGAGUAAGGUUGAAGUGGCUGGAAUAAGUAGUGUAGCGGUGAAAUGCAUAGAUAUUACUUAGAACACCAAUUGCGAAGGCAGGUCACUAAGUCUUAACUGACGCUGAUGGACGAAAGCGUGGGGAGCGAACAGGAUUAGAAACCCCUGUAGUCCCA
rnacentral:rRNA from 1 species